GUCAAUAUUAAAAAGACGUAUGAUUGCCCAUGAGAACUCAACAAGAGACCAUAUGACAUGAAAAUUAAUAACUAAAGGUUGCUGUUUGGCCUUGACAAUGAGCAAAGCCCAUACUGCUUAAUUGGCUAUAAAAGGCCCUUAAAUAAAUGUAAAUCAAUUCAAACAAGAAACCUAACAGCCUAAUUAAUAUUCAAUAUCAAAACAAAUAUCAAACAUGACAACCACUGAAUUAUAGGCUCCUGACUUGGGGACAGGC
rnacentral:lncRNA from 1 species